rnacentral:lncRNA from 1 species
GAAUAACCUCCACACACUGUGUUACAACUCUGUUAUUGUGCAUACGCAGUGAUGUUUAGUGUAGGCUACGGAAUAUCCUGGGGAUGAGGUCAGAGGACCAGUGGCUUGGGCCAAUUAUGGUGACAUAAAAAGACACUUAACAUUAUCCCUCCUUAAUGGCUAGAUGUCGACAUUGUUGCAUAAUUAUAUUAAACAUAACAUUUCUCCCCGAUAUGAGAAAGGAGAUUAUUUAUCUAUUUCUUGGUGGGAUGGAAUCAAAGAAAGUAAAUAUGGUCGAAGUAAAUAUGCCCCUCCUUUCUCUCGAGCUCUGCCUAGAUGGAGAAAAGACGCUCCUUUCACCUCGCCAGCAUGUCUGUGUAGCAGCAUCGCGCAUCCACUACCCAGUGUCUUUUUAUAAACCAGGACAGACCUGUCACCAACACGCCCAAAAGAGCAGCAUGAACCUGUCGAGAGAGACCACAUGGAUGUCGUUGUCAGAAAUGUGUAGCUAGCGUGGACUUGAAAAGGGAGAAUUUAAUGGAAUUCUGAGCAGCAGCCAAGAAAGACAGUCUCAUGGGCCAUAGUGGAGGGUCAUCAACAGAGUGGAGAUGUUCAAAGACAGCCCUCCUCCAGCAUGUGCCCAGUCACCUUUUUCCCCGCCUCUCCACGCUGCAGUGUCUUUCCCUGUUCCAUUCCUUAAGAACACUCAAGCAACUGGAUUGCUGUUGGAGCCACAUUGUCUCCGUAUGCCUGCGCAGCUGCAUUUUCCUCAUCAUGGCUAGAUCCAAGAUGGAGCCCAGUUUCUCCCACCCCCAUGACUUGAAUCUCUCACAGCCCUGCAGAGGCAGUUGCCCUGACAACGUCAAUGACAGCCUGCUAUUGGUUCAAACCUUCGGCAAAUGGACUGCCUUCGAGAUUAUGUAAUGCAGAAGCAGCAUAGUAGCUAAGAUGACUGGCGCAGACGGUUUUUUGUUUUGAAGAGGGCAUUGUUUAUGUUCUGUGUGCCAGGGAAGAGACUUCCAAGAAAUCAGCUUCACUAAACAGGAAUGCAGAAGUGCAAUUAUAAUAUACUGUUUCAAAUGUUGGAUUUCAUAAAAUGAAUCUUUUUAUUACUGUGAAUUUGAUGUCACAUUCAUAGAGUGAAUUGUCAGAAUCAGAGACAUUUACUUUGAAGGUUCUAGAACAUUCAAAAGCUCUCUAAAUAAUUAAUGUUUAGUCUAGGUGAUCUAGAUACUGUCCAUGCUCUGAUGAAGAGGAUGCUACUUCCUCGGUUAGUAGCCAGUCAGCAUCAGUAAAAGAAACAUGAAGUCUCCGCUUACAGCAUCAUAGAGAGUGGAGCUGACAGUACAACAGCACAGCAAAUGACCUCAGCGUUUCUGCGGCAAAGGAACGUGAGAGUGAGAGAGAGAGAGAGUGAGAGGGGGAGAGAGAAAGUUGGAGUGGUAAUGGGAUGAGACGCUGCUAAUCUUUAACCGGAGACACGGACGGGACUGGACACAGCAUCUGUCCUGGUCUGCGCAAGAUGCUCAACAGAACCGAGGAAACCUAACAGCCGAAAACCCUCUGCUGUUAGGUAAAGAUAGAGAAAAAAUGACUAUCCCUAAAGACAUUCCAGAAAAGUGGUUUCCAAUUGUUCUUCCACUGCAACGGAAGAAACAACAAGGACUUGAUGCCAUUAAAAGGAAAAAGAAGUGGACAGGUACUUCUGUGUUCAGCUGUCACGUCAUUCAUCUGUUCAUAACAUAUGCAGUUGGAACGUGUUUUUGUA